rnacentral:rRNA from 1 species
AUUGAACGCUGGCGGCAGGCUUAACACAUGCACGUCGAGCGAGCGGCGGACGGGUGAGUAAUGUCUGGGAAACUGCCUGAUGGAGGGGGAUAACUACUGGAAACGGUAGCUAAUACCGCAUACCAUCAGAUGUGCCCAGAUGGGAGUAGCUAGUCGGUGGGGUAAUGGCUCACCUAGGCGACGAUCCCUAGCUGGUCUGAGAGGAUGACCAGCCACACUGAAACGGAGUCACGGUCCUGAUUCCUACGGCAGGCAGCAGUCGGGAAUAGUGCACAAUGGGCGCAAGCCUGCUGGAGCCAUGCCGCGUGUCUGAAGAAGGCCUUCGGGGUGUAAAGCACUUUCAGCGAGGGCGCGUUACUCGCAUACGACGCACCGGCUAACUCCGUGCCGGCGGCCGCGGUAGUAG